GGCCAGAUAGCUCAGUUGGUAAAGUGCCUGACUAGAAUUUCAGGGGGCCUGGGUUUGAAUCCCAGUCUGGUCC